rnacentral:rRNA from 1 species
UACGUAGGGGGCAAGCGUUGUCCGGAAUCAUUGGGCGUAAAGAGCGUGUAGGCGGCUCGAUAAGUCCGCUGUGAAAGUCCAGGGCUCAACCCUGGAAGGGCGGUGGAAACUGUCGGGCUAGAGUCCGGAAGAGGCGAGUGGAAUUCCCGGUGUAGCGGUGAAAUGCGUAGAUAUCGAGAGGAACACCAGUGGCGAAGGCGAGUCUCUGGACAUUUCCUGACGCUGAGGCACGAAAGCCAGGGGAGCAAACGGG